AUCCUGGCUCAGGAUGAACGCUAGCGGCAGGCUUAAUACAUGCAAGUCGUGGGGCAGCAUGAGUAGCAAUACUUGAUGGCGACCGGCAAACGGGUGAGGAACACGUACACAACCUUCCUUCAAGCGGGGAAUAGCCCAGAGAAAUUUGGAUUAAUACCCCAUAAUAUAUUUGAUAAGGCAUCUUAUUAAUAUUAAAGCUUCGGCACUUGAUGAUGGGUGUGCGGCUGAUUAGAUAGUUGGCGGGGUAACGGCCCACCAAGUCUACGAUCAGUAGCUGAUGUGAGAGCAUGAUCAGCCACACGGGCACUGAGACACGGGCCCGACUCCUACGGGAGGCAGCAGUAAGGAAUAUUGGACAAUGGACGAAAGUCUGAUCCAGCCAUGCCGCGUGAAGGAUUAAAGGGUUCCUCUGGAUUGUAAACUUCUUUUAUAUGGGACGAAAAAAGGGCAUUCUUGUUCACUUGACGGUACCAUAUGAAUAAGCACCGGCUAACUCCGUG
rnacentral:rRNA from 1 species